rnacentral:rRNA from 1 species
CCUGAGAAACCCAAAAGUUCGAAUGGAGAGAUUCAUCGUCAGCGAUCCUGGCAAUUGUACGGUUCGCGAUGUCAGGGACCUCGGUCCCGCGGCACGCGUCCGUAUGAUUUUUUUGCCGGGUGUCGUCGUCGUGCACUUCUCCCCUAGUAGGACGUCGCGACCCGUUGGGUGUCGGUCUACGACCCGGGUGGGAGCCUGUCAUGUGUUACGCUUCACGGCGUCAUGUGGCAGACCCCCGGUUGUCCGACCAGCUGCCCGGCGGUACUCGCACGGUAUUGAGUCGCAAUUUGAACUGCGUCCGGCCCGCCGCAAGCGAGGCCAGUGUUUCCCGGAUGUACGGACUUAGCGCCGUCACCGGGCCUGGCCAGCUGUUGGCCGGCGGUGUCCUGGGACUGGCUCUAAAUACCGGUCGGCGACGCUACUGCUUUGGGUACUUUCA